UCCGGUUUAACACCGGCAGUCUCGCUAGAGUGCCCAACUAAAUGGUGGCAACUAGCGAUAGGGGUUUCGCUCGUUAAGGGACUUAACCCGACACUUCACAGCACGAGCUGACGACAGCCAUGCAGCACCUGUGCACGUUCCACUACGAGAGUGUCACCGACGUUUCUGCCGGUUAAUCCGUGCAUGUCAAACCUAGGAUAAGGUUCUUCGCGUUGCUUCGAAUUGAGCCACAUGCUCCACCGCUUGUGUGAGCCCCCGUCAAUUCCUUUGAGUUUUAGCCUUGCGACCGUACUCCCCAGGCGGUGCACUCAACGUUUUUACUUCGGCCGAGAAAGGAUCAGACCUUCCUCGAUCUAGUGCACAUUGUUUACGGCAUGGACUAC
rnacentral:misc_RNA from 1 species